rnacentral:rRNA from 1 species
UCAAGCGAAUAAGUGCAUACGGUGGAUGCCUAGGCAGUAAGAGGCGAUGAAGGACGUAGUAGACUGCGAUAAGCGCGGGGGAGUAGUCAAACAUACUUUGAUCCCGCGAUUUCCGAAUGGGGAAACCCAGUGUGCAUCAGCACAUUAUCCUUGAGUGAAUACAUAGCUCAAGGAGGCGAACCCGGGGAACUGAAACAUCUAAGUACCCGGAGGAAAAGAAAUCAACCGAGAUUCCCUUAGUAGCGGCGAGCGAACGGGGACCAGCCCUAAACCCUUAGAUGUGAUAGUGGAAUGCUCUGGAAAGUGCAGCCAUAGAGAGUGAUAGCCUCGUACACGAAAUCUAUUUUAAGGUUAUUCGAGUAGGUCGGGACACGUGUUAUCUUGACUGAACAUGGGGGGACCAUCCUCCAAGGCUAAAUACUCCUUACUGACCGAUAGUGAACUAGUACCGUGAGGGAAAGGUGAAAAGAACCCUUUUUAAGGGAGUGAAAUAGACCCUGAAACCGUAUGCAUACAAGCAGUAGGAGCUCCCUUGUGGGGUGACUGCGUACCUUUUGUAUAAUGGGUCAGCGACUUAUUCUCAGUGGCAAGCUUAAGUGCUUAGCGGAGGCGUAGGGAAACCGAGUCUUAAAUGGGCGACAUAGUCGCUGGGAAUAGACCCGAAACCGAGUGAUCUAUCCAUGGCCAGGUUGAAGGUUGAGUAACAUCAACUGGAGGACCGAACCCACUUAUGUUGAAAAAUGAGGGGAUGAGCUGUGGAUCGGAGUGAAAGGCUAAUCAAACUCGGAGAUAGCUGGUUCUCCUCGAAAUCUAUUUAGGUAGAGCCUCUUGUAUCACUGUUGGGGGUAGAGCACUGUUAUGGCUAGGGGGCCAUCCCGGCUUACCAACCCAUUGCAAACUCCGAAUACCAACAAGUGCAAUCAAGGGAGACACACAGCGGGUGCUAACGUCCGUUGUGAAGAGGGAAACAACCCAGACCGUCAGCUAAGGUCCCUAAAUAUUGCUCAGUGGGAAACGAUGUGAGAAGGCAUAGACAGCCAGGAGGUUGGCUUAGAAGCAGCCAUCCUUUAAAGAAAGCGUAAUAGCUCACUGGUCUAGUCGGCUUGCGCGGAAGAUUUAUCGGGGCUCAAGCAAUAUACCGAAGCUACGGGAGCUUGGAAUUUAUUCCAGGCUCGGUAGAGGAGCGUUCUGUAAGCCUGCGAAGGUGUGCUGUGAGGCAUGCUGGAGGUAUCAGAAGUGCGAAUGCUGACAUAAGUAACGACAAUGGGAGUGAGAAACUCCCACGCCGAAAACCCAAGGUUUCCUGCUCAACGUUAAUCGGAGCAGGGUUAGUCGGAUCCUAAGGCGAGGCCGAAAGGCGUAGUCGAUGGAAAACAGGUUAAUAUUCCUGUACCACUUAUAACUGCGAUGGGGAGACGGAGAAGGCUAGGCCAGCCGGCAGUUGGUGUCCGGUUUAAGCGAGUAGGGUGUGACCUUAGGCAAAUCCGGGGUCGCUUUACCUGAGACGUGAUGACGAGCUCUUUAGUGAGCGAAGUGGUUGAUGCCAUGCUUCCAAGAAAAUCCUCUAAGCUUCAGGUUAUGAGUGUCCGUACCCCAAACCGACACAGGUGGGUAAGUUGAGAAUACUAAGGCGCUUGAGAGAACUCGGGUGAAGGAACUAGGCAAAAUAGCACCGUAACUUCGGGAGAAGGUGCGCCCUUGUGAGUGAGUGGAUUUACUCUACGAAGCUUAUGAGGGCCGCAGUGACCAGGUGGCUGCGACUGUUUACUAAAAACAUAGCACUCUGCAAACACGCAAGUGGACGUAUAGGGUGUGACGCCUGCCCGGUGCCGGAAGGUUAAUUGAUGGGGUUAUCUUCGGAGAAGCUCUUGAUCGAAGCCCCGGUAAACGGCGGCCGUAACUAUAACGGUCCUAAGGUAGCGAAAUUCCUUGUCGGGUAAGUUCCGACCUGCACGAAUGGCGUAACGAUGGCCACACUGUCUCCACCCGAGACUCAGUGAAAUUGAAUUCGCGGUUAAGAUGCCGUGUACCCGCGGCUAGACGGAAAGACCCCGUGAACCUUUACUACAGCUUUGCACUGAACUUUGAACCUACUUGUGUAGGAUAGGUGGGAGGCGUUGAAACGUGAUCGCUAGAUUGCGUGGAGCCGACCUUGAAAUACCACCCUGGUAUGUUUGGAGUUCUAACUUAGACCCGUUAUCCGGGUUGAGGACAGUGUAUGGUGGGUAGUUUGACUGGGGCGGUCUCCUCCCAAAGAGUAACGGAGGAGCGCGAAGGUACCCUAAACACGGUCGGAAAUCGUGUGGUUUGUGCAAAGGCAUAAGGGUGCUUGACUGCGAGACAGACACGUCGAGCAGGUGCGAAAGCAGGUCUUAGUGAUCCGGUGGUUCUGCAUGGAAGGGCCAUCGCUCAACGGAUAAAAGGUACUCCGGGGAUAACAGGCUGAUUCCUCCCAAGAGUCCAUAUCGACGGAGGAGUUUGGCACCUCGAUGUCGGCUCAUCACAUCCUGGGGCUGUAGCAGGUCCCAAGGGUAUGGCUGUUCGCCAUUUAAAGUGGUACGCGAGCUGGGUUUAGAACGUCGUGAGACAGUUCGGUCCCUAUCUGCCGUGGGCGUUUGAGAAUUGAGGGAAGCUGCUCCUAGUACGAGAGGACCGGAGUGGACGAUCCCCUGGUGUUCCGGUUGUCACGCCAGUGGCAUUGCCGGGUAGCUACGAUCGGACAGGAUAACCGCUGAAAGCAUCUAAGCGGGAAGCCCCUCCCAAGAUGAGUUCUCACUGAAUCCUUGAGAUUCCUGAAGGGCCCUUGAAGACCACAAGGUUGAUAGGCAGGGUGUGGAAGCGCAGUAAUGUGUGAAGCUAACCUGUACUAAUUGCCCGUGAGGCUUGACCAU